rnacentral:lncRNA from 1 species
GCCGGGGGCCGCCCGCGGGCCCGCCCGACCCCGAUGAGCCGGAGGCGCCGGCAGGCGCAGGAAGCACUGAGCUAAAUCUCCGGCCCAGUUGACAGAUUUUUUUUUUUUUUUUUUUGGUACCGCGGAUUGAACUUGGGACCUUGCGCUUGCAAGGCAGCCGCCAGAACCACUGAGCUAAAUCCCCGGCCCUCCAGUUGACUGAUUUUCAAACAUGUUGCCUUGAAAUGCCCAGCCUGCUGGCCACAGCCACUCCUCCUGUGCCCUCAGGGCCCCCUUGCCUCUUGCAGUUUGGCCCAUGAAAGUAGGAGGAAGAUGUGCUUGGGCGUUGGUCCAUUGUGCAGCUCUGUGCUCCGAGGAAUAAAGCAGCAGUGGUGUUACUGUGGCACUGGCUCUUCCCUGGGAGUCGCUCUCUGUGGGCUUUGGAAACAUUGGCUUUUAAGGCUUGCCCAGCAAGUUGAUGACUCAGUUGGAAAACCCAGGCCUGCGAGUGGUGCUUUCUGCUGUCCCUCUGCGUGGCCAUGCAGCAGGACUGUGACCACGGAUGUGGCAUCCGGUGAGGUGGCCACCAGCCACGUGUGACUUGGAGUACCUGACAAGUAACUGGUGCACCUGAGGAAGCGCAGUGUGUGUGUGCGGCGCCUGGUCACGCUGCUGCAUGCAUGUGAGACAGCCAGGAUGUAAUGUGAUCGGUAC